GCGCCGCAUACUCUCUGCAGCAAUGCGAUGUGAUCCAUGUCACGGCCCCCGCGAGGGGGAGGGCGACCGGGUCUAAAUGUAGCCAGAGGAAUGGUCUGCGAGACUAGGCCGAGUGCUAAGCAUUCUUGGGCUGGGCUCGCCUGCCACAAUCUAACUAUCUAUUUGGCCUCAAAUCAGGCAAGACUACCCGCUGAACUUAA
rnacentral:misc_RNA from 1 species